ACUUAGUUAGUUUUGCUCCCCGUUUUCUAGCUCUUUCUGUUUACCAGAUAAAGUCUUUGUUUCUCUCACAUUCUCAAUAUUGAAUUGGUAAUAAGUUGGGUGCGAUUUCAUAAAGAACGUAUGAGCAAGGAAAUCACCGUACUUGCUCCAAGCAGCAAGAAGAUCAAGGUUGUUGCACCCCCUGAGAGGAUGUAUGGUGCCUGGAUUGGAGGAUCAAUUCUAGCUUCUCUCUGUACUUUCGAACAAAUGUGUAUAACAAAGGGCGAGUUUGAUGAAUCUGGUCCCUUUAUUGUCCACAGGAAGUGUCUCUAAUAUUGGUGAUAUGAAUGGGUGCCAAUAUAGUUUGGAAAUUAAAUAGGCAGAAGAAGCAUUUAGAUCCCACUUUGGCAAGAGAAAUAAGUGAACGUUGAUUGCAGACAUGUUUUCUGUUGGACUCAAUAGAGAAAGACAACACAACUUUUAACUGCAUACUGUACAGAUAGCUGAAAAAAGCAAGUCUCUUUCCAUGUUGUGUGUUUGA